ACGGGUGUGUAAUACAUCGGAACGUAUCCUGGAGUGGGGGAUAGCCCAGCGAAAGCCGGAUUAAUACCGCAUACGCUCUGAGGAGGAAAGCGGGGGACCUUCGGGCCUCGCGCUCAAGGGGCGGCCGAUGGCGGAUUAGGUAGUUGGUGGGGUAAAGGCCUACCAAGCCGACGAUCCGUAGCUGGUCUGAGAGGACGACCAGCCACACUGGGACUGAGACACGGCCCAGACUCCUACGGGAGGCAGCAGUGGGGAAUUUUGGACAAUGGGGGCAACCCUGAUCCAGCAAUGCCGCGUGUGUGAAGAAGGCCUUCGGGUUGUAAAGCACUUUUGUCCGGAAAGAAAUCAUCGGGGCCAAUACCCCUGGUGGAUGACGGUACCGGAAGAAUAAGCACCGGCUAACUACGUGCCAGCAGCCGCGGUAAUACGUAGGGUGCGAGCGUUAAUCGGAAUUACUGGGCGUAAAGCGUGCGCAGGCGGUGCUGUAAGACCGAUGUGAAAUCCCCGGGCUUAACCUGGGAACUGCAUUGGUGACUGCAGCGCUGGAGUAUGGCAGAGGGGGGGUGGAAUUCCACGU
rnacentral:rRNA from 1 species